UGAGGAAUAUUGCACAAUGGGCGCAAGCCUGAUGCAGCAACGCCGCGUGCGGGACGAAGGCCUUCGGGUCGUAAACCGCUUUUCUGGGGAAAGAGCAAGGACGGUACCUCAGGAAUAAGUCUCGGCUAACUACGUGCCAGCAGCCGCGGUAAAACGUAGGAGGCGAGCGUUAUCCGGAUUUACUGGGCGUAAAGCGCACGCAGGCGGCUCUGUGAGUCGGACGUGAAAGCUCCCGGCUUAACCGGGAGAGGCCGUUCGAUACUGCGGGGCUUGAGGUAGGGAGAGGAAUGCGGAAUUCCCGGUGUAGUGGUGGAAUGCGUAGAUAUCGGGAGGAACACCUGUGGCGAAAGCGGCAUUCUGGCCCUCACCUGACGCUGAGGUGCGAAAGCGUGGGUAG
rnacentral:rRNA from 1 species